AGGACGAACGCUGGCGGCGUGCUUAACACAUGCAAGUCGAGCGGAAAGGCCCUUCGGGGGUACUCGAGCGGCGAACGGGUGAGUAACACGUGAGUAAUCUGCCCCUAGCUCUGGGAUAGCUCCGGGAAACCGGGAUUAAUACCAGAUACGACCACUUUAGACAUCUUCUGUGGUGGAAAGACUUCGGCUAGGGAUGAACUCGCGGCCUAUCAGCUUGUUGGUGAGGUAACGGCUCACCAAGGCGACGACGGGUA
rnacentral:rRNA from 1 species